GAGUUUGAUCAUGGCUCAGGAUGAACGCUGGCGGUAUGCUUAACACAUGCAAGUCGUACGAGAGUCUUUGACUCUAGUGGCGGACGGGUGAGUAACGCGUGAGAAUUCGCCCAUAGGAGGGAAAUAACAGUAGGAAACCGCUGCUAAAGUCCCAUAUACCUUUUGGUGAAACAGAGUAAUCUGCCUAUGGAGAAGCUCGCGUCUGAUUAGCUAGUUGGUGGGGUAAAGGCCUACCAAGGCGAUGAUCAGUAGUUGGUCUGAGAGGAUGAUCAGCCACACUGGGACUGAGACACGGCCCAGACUCCUACGGGAGGCAGCAGUGAGGAAUUUUCCGCAAUGGGCGAAAGCCUGACGGAGCAAUACCGCGUGAGGGAUGACGGCCUUUGGGUUGUAAACCUCUUUUUUCAAGGAGGAAGUUCUGACGUGUACUUGAAGAAUAAGCAUCGGCUAACUCCGUGCCAGCAGCCGCGGUAAGACGGAGGAUGCAAGUGUUAUCCGGAAUUAUUGGGCGUAAAGCGUCUGUAGGUUGCCUAGCAAGUCUAUUGUUAAAGGUUAAAGCUUAACUUUAAAACUGCAGUAGAAACUGCUAAGCUUGAGUACAGUCGAAGUAGAGGGAAUUUCCAGUGAAGCGGUGAAAUGCGUAGAUAUUGGAAGGAACACCAAUGGCGAAAGCACUCUACUAGGCUUUUACUGACACUCAGAGACGAAAGCUAGGGUAGCAAAUGGGAUUAGAUACCCCAGUAGUCCUAGCCGUAAACGAUGGAUACUAAACAUUGCGUGCAUCGAUCCGCGUGGUGUUAUAGCUAACGCGUUAAGUAUCCCGCCUGGGGAGUACGCUCGCAAGGGUUAAACUCAAAGGAAUUGACGGGGGCCCGCACAAGCGGUGGAGCAUGUGGUUUAAUUUGAUGCAAUGCGAAGAACCUUACCAGGGUUUGACAUGGUGUUAAUUCUUUGAAAAAAGAAGUACCGUUCGCGGUAGACACACACAGGUGGUGCAUGGCCGUCGUCAGCUCGUGUCGUGAGAUGUUUGGUUAAGUCCAGCAACGAGCGCAACCCCUGUGAACUGUUGCCAGCGCGUAAAGGCGGGGACUCUGUUCAGACUGCCCAGAUCAACUGGGAGGAAGGUGGGGACGACGUCAGGUCAGUAUGGCCCUUACGCCUAGGGCUGCACACGUACUACAAUGCCCAGCACAAUGAGAACCGAGACCGCAAGGUGGAGGAAAUCUGCAAAACUGGGCCCAGUUCGGAUUGGAGGCUGCAACUCGCCUCCAUGAAGUCGGAAUCGCUAGUAAUGCCGUAUCAGCUACGACGGCGUGAAUACGUUCCCGGGUCUUGUACACACUGCCCGUCACAUCAUGGAAGCCGGUCGCACCCGAAGUAUAUGCGCUAACUUUAUUGAAGCAGUAUCCUAAGGUGAGGCUGGUAACUGGGAUGAAGUCGUAACAAGGUAACC
rnacentral:rRNA from 1 species